rfam:Lactobacillus apodemi DSM 16634 = JCM 16172 strain DSM 16634 NODE_95, whole genome shotgun sequence.
GGGGAUGUUUAGGAUUCGACAGGUAUAGGUCGGGCUUGAGUUGCGCUUAGUAGGUUGCGACUACUAUAAAACGCUCAGUUUAAAUUAUAACUGCAAAAAAUAAUAACAAUUCUUACGCUUUAGCUGCCUAGUCAGCAUUGCGUAGAUCCGUGCGGUAUCGUCUGUGUGCCGGUUACGGGUCCUAUAUUAGCAGACUACGCUUAAAGUUUUAGCCUGAAAUUUUAAGAAGAGACUUUUAGGCUAGUUAUUGAUGUUAGCCCUGUUAUACGGCGGAAUCAAUAAUGAAGUUCAAAUAGUAUAACUAUGAGCGUAGAUACUUGAGUUACGAUAUGCUUGGACGCGGGUUCGAUCCCCGCCAUCUCCAUAU